UACGUAGGUGGCAAGCGUUAUCCGGAUUUAUUGGGCGUAAAGGGAACGCAGCCGGUCUUUUAAGUCUGAUGUGAAAGCCUUCGGCUUAACCGGAGUAGUGCAUUGGAAACUGGGAGACUUGAGUGCAGAAGAGGAGAGUGGAACUCCAUGUGUAGCGGUGAAAUGCGUAGAUAUAUGGAAGAACACCAGUGGCGAAAGCGGCUCUCUGGUCUGUAACUGACGCUGAGGUUCGAAAGCGUGGGUAGCAAACAGG
rnacentral:rRNA from 1 species